AUGAACGCUGGCCGCGUGCUUAACACAUGCAAGUCGAACGGUGAAGGCGGAGCUUGCUCUGCUGGAUCAGUGGCGAACGGGUGAGUAACACGUGAGCAAUCUGCCCCUGACUCUGGGAUAAGCGCUGGAAACGGCGUCUAAUACUGGAUACGAGCUGCGAAGGCAUCUUCAGCAGCUGGAAAGAAUUUCGGUCAGGGAUGAGCUCGCGGCCUAUCAGCUUGUUGGUGAGGUAAUGGCUCACCAAGGCGUCGACGGGUAGCCGGCCUGAGAGGGUGACCGGCCACACUGGGACUGAGAAACGGCCCAGACUCCUACGGGAGGCAGCAGUGGGGAAUAUUGCACAAUGGGCGAAAGCCUGAUGCAGCAACGCCGCGUGAGGGAAGACGGCCUUCGGGUUGUAAACCUCUUUUAGCAGGGAAGAGGCGAAAGUGACGGUACCUGCAGAAAAAGCGCCGGCUAACUACGUG
rnacentral:rRNA from 1 species